ACGCUGUGAUACUCCGGCGCCCCCGCGAUC
rnacentral:sRNA from 1 species